UACGUAGGGGGCAAGCGUUGUCCGGAUUUAUUGGGCGUAAAGAGCGUGUAGGCGGCCAAGCAGGUCUGCUGUGAAAACUCGAGGCUCAACCUCGGGACGUCGGUGGAAACCGUUUGGCUAGAGUCCGGAAGAGGAGAGUGGAAUUCCCGGUGUAGCGGUGAAAUGCGCAGAUAUCGGGAAGAACACCCGUGGCGAAGGCGGCUCUCUGGGACGGUACUGACGCUGAGACGCGAAAGCGUGGGGAGCAAACAGG
rnacentral:rRNA from 1 species